AACUAGCUUACUGAGGCCGGCAGGGUUCAGAGAGAGCACAUGUAAAUGAGGCUCAGUUAUAAACUCCUGAGGAGUGUUUUAUUUAGUUUAAACCUGAACCUGAACUUGUCAACGUGUUCCUGGAGAACAACACAGAAAGCUGCUGCAGUGAAACAGGAAGCCAUAUUUCAGCUCAGACAAUUCACUUCUUUGAGAGAAAGAAAAGUCUUCGAGUAAUUUUUUUUAAACUGAACUGCCUUUAGGAUAGCACACGGUGACAUCUCUGCAAGAAGUCGUGAUUGCAGAAUCAGAAUGACAGUUAAUAUGUGUCAUUUGAACUUGCCACCAUUUUUUCAAACUGAAUUAUAGGAUCUCUUAGCCAUAUGGUGAUUUAACAAGAGAAAAGAAUAUUUAAAAAGCCAAUGAACAUAUAACCGUCAUCCAAUCUGUAAUUGGUUUCAUUAAAAUAUAAUAAAGUGAUAGGAGAGGUAUGGAACUAUUCCAAAUCAGUACUGUGUGUGUGAGUUCCGAGUCUGUUCCUAAAUCUCAGUUACUA
rnacentral:lncRNA from 1 species